rnacentral:rRNA from 1 species
CCUACGGGAGGCAGCAGUGGGGAAUAUUGGACAAUGGGCGAAAGCCUGAUCCAGCAAUGCCGCGUGAGUGAUGAAGGCCUUAGGGUUGUAAAGCUCUUUUACCAGGGAUGAUAAUGACAGUACCUGGAGAAUAAGCUCCGGCUAACUCCGUGCCAGCAGCCGCGGUAAUACGGAGGGAGCUAGCGUUGUUCGGAAUUACUGGGCGUAAAGCGUACGUAGGCGGUUAUUCAAGUCAGAGGUGAAAGCCUGGAGCUCAACUCCAGAACUGCCUUUGAAACUAGGUAGCUAGAAUCACGGAGAGGUUAGUGGAAUUCCGAGUGUAGAGGUGAAAUUCGUAGAUAUUCGGAAGAACACCAGUGGCGAAGGCGACUAACUGGACGUGUAUUGACGCUGAGGUACGAAAGCGUGGGGAGCAAACAGGAUUAGAUACCCUGGUAGUCCACGCCGUAAACGAUGAUAACUAGCUGUUCGGUCUCUACGAGACUGAGUGGCGCAGCUACGACAUAAGUUAAUCCGUCCGUCGGGAGGUACGGUCGCGAAGAAGUUAAAACUUAACGAAAGGUAAAGUUAGUACGGUUCGUUGUAGACGUUGCCGACGGACGACGACGAGGGAGGAGG